UACGUAGGGUGCGAGCGUUGUCCGGAAUUAUUGGGCGUAAAGAGCUCGUAGGCGGUUUGUUGCGUCUAUCGUGAAAACCUGCAGCUUAACUGUGGGCUUGCGGUGGAUACGGGCAGACUUGAGUUCGGUAGGGGAGACUGGAAUUCCUGGUGUAGCGGUGAAAUGCGCAGAUAUCAGGAGGAACACCGGUGGCGAAGGCGGGUCUCUGGGCCGAUACUGACGCUGAGGAGCGAAAGCGUGGGGAGAGAACAGG
rnacentral:rRNA from 1 species